rnacentral:rRNA from 1 species
AACGAACGCUGGCGGCGUGGAUAAGACAUGCAAGUCGAGCGCUGAUUACAGGGUAGCAAUAUUCUGUGGUCGGAGCGGCGCAAGGGUGCGUAACACGUGGGUAAUCUGCCAUGAAGUCUGGAAUAACUUGCUGAAAGGCGAGCUAAUACCGGAUGUGAACAUCGGGCGGCAUCGUUUGAUGUUCAAAGCUGGGGACCGUAAGGCCUGGCGCUUCAUGAUGAGCCCGCGGCCUAUCAGCUAGUUGGUGGGGUAAUGGCUCACCAAGGCGACGAUCUGUAGCGGGUCUUAGAGGAUGAUCCGCCACACUGGAACUGAGACACGGUCCAGACUCCUACGGGUGGCUG